rnacentral:sRNA from 1 species
ACAGUAAAAAGUCCGAGGGCAGCCGCCGGGCGCAGGAUGGGAUCCGGCUCCUCCAGCUACCGGCCCAAGGCCAUCUACCUGGACAUCGAUGGACGCAUUCAGAAGGUAAUCUUCAGCAAGUACUGCAACUCCAGCGACAUCAUGGACCUGUUCUGCAUCGCCACCGGCCUGCCUCGCACUCCCUACAAAGUGAGACCUGUGGCCAUCAAGCAACUCUCUGAGCAUUCAAAAUCAAUGAACUGAAAGCUGAAGUUGCAAAUCACUUGGCUGUCCUAGAGAAACGCGUGGAAUUGGAAGGACUAAAAGUGGUGGAGAUUGAGAAAUGCAAGAGUGACAUUAAGAAGAUGAGGGAGGAGCUGGCGGCCAGAAGCAGCAGGACCAACUGCCCCUGUAAGUACAGUUUUUUGGAUAACCACAAGAAGUUGACUCCUCGACGCGAUGUUCCCACUUACCCCAAGUACCUGCUCUCUCCAGAGACCAUCGAGGCCCUGCGGAAGCCGACCUUUGACGUCUGGCUUUGGGAGCCCAAUGAGAUGCUGAGCUGCCUGGAGCACAUGUACCACGACCUCGGGCUGGUCAGGGACUUCAGCAUCAACCCUGUCACCCUCAGGAGGUGGCUGUUCUGCGUCCACGACAACUACAGAAACAACCCCUUCCACAACUUCCGGCACUGCUUCUGCGUGGCCCAGAUGAUGUACAGCAUGGUGUGGCUCUGCAGUCUCCAGGAGAACUUCUCACAAAUGGAUAUCCUGAUCCUAAUGACAGCGGCCAUCUGCCACGAUCUGGACCAUCCCGGCUACAACAACACGUACCAGAUCAAUGCCCGCACAGAGCUGGCGGUCCGCUACAAUGACAUCUCACCGCUGGAGAACCACCACUGCGCCGUGGCCUUCCAGAUCCUCGCCGAGCCUGAGUGCAACAUCUUCUCCAACAUCCCACCUGAUGGGUUCAAGCAGAUCCGACAGGGAAUGAUCACAUUAAUCUUGGCCACUGACAUGGCAAGACAUGCAGAAAUUAUGGAUUCUUUCAAAGAGAAAAUGGAGAAUUUUGACUACAGCAACGAGGAGCACAUGACCCUGCUGAAGAUGAUUUUGAUAAAAUGCUGUGAUAUCUCUAACGAGGUCCGUCCAAUGGAAGUCGCAGAGCCUUGGGUGGACUGUUUAUUAGAGGAAUAUUUUAUGCAGAGCGACCGUGAGAAGUCAGAAGGCCUUCCCGUGGCCCCGUUCAUGGACCGAGACAAAGUGACCAAGGCCACAGCCCAGAUUGGGUUCAUCAAGUUUGUCCUGAUCCCAAUGUUUGAAACAGUGACCAAGCUCUUCCCCAUGGUUGAGGAGAUCAUGCUGCAGCCACUUUGGGAAUCCCGAGAUCGCUACGAGGAACUGAAGCGGAUAGAUGAUGCCAUGAAAGAGUUACAGAAGAAGACUGACAGCUUGACGUCUGGGGCCACCGAGAAGUCCAGAGAGAGAAGCAGAGAUGUGAAAAACAGUGAAGGAGACUGUGCCUGAGGAAAGCGGGGGGCGUGGCUGCGGUUCUGGACAGGCUGGCCGAGCUGCGCGGGAUCCUUGUGCAGGGAAGAGCUGCCCUGGGCACCUGGCACCACAAAACCACGUUUUCUAAGAACCAUUUUGUUCACUGAUACAAAAAAAAAAAAAAGGAAUUCAUGAUGCUGUACAGAAUUUUAUUUUUAAACUGUCUUUUAAAUAAUAUAUUCUUAUACGGAAA